rnacentral:rRNA from 1 species
UACGGGGGAGCAAGCGUUGUUCGGAUUUACUGGGCGUAAAGGGCGCGUAGGCGGUCAGCACAAGUCAAUUGUGAAAUCUCCGAGCUUAACUCGGAAAGGUCAACUGAAACUGUGCGACUAGAGUGCGGAAGGGGCAACUGGAAUUCUUGGUGUAGCGGUGAAAUGCGCAGAUAUCAGGAGGAACACCGGUGGCGAAGGCGGAUCUCUGGGCCAUUACUGACGUGAGGAGCGAAAGCGUGGGGAGCGAAACAGG